rnacentral:rRNA from 1 species
UAGUAAGCGCGAGUCAUCAGCUCGCGUUGAUUACGUCCCUGCCCUUUGUACACACCGCCGUCGCUCCUACCGAUUGGGUGUGCUGGUGAAAUGUUCGGAUCGGGCUUCAUCUGGUGGCAACACUGGGUGUCGCUGAAAAGAUCAUUAAACCCUCCCAUCUAGAGGAAGGAGAAGUCGUAACAAGGUUUCCGUAGGUGAACCUGCGGAAGGAUCAUUG